UGGGGAAUAUUGCGCAAUGGGGGAAACCCUGACGCAGCGACGCCGCGUGAGCGAAGAAGGCCUUAGGGUUGUAAAGCUCUGUUUUAGGGGACGAAUGUUCAUAGGAGUAAUAUGCCUGUGAAAUGACGGUACCCUAAGAGGAAGCCCCGGCUAACUACGUGCCAGCAGCCGCGGUAAGACGUAGGGGGCGAGCGUUGUCCGGAAUUACUGGGCGUAAAGAGCACGUAGGCGGGAACCUAAGUCAGGUGUGAAAGACCGUGGCUCAACCACGGGGUGGCAUUUGAAACUGGGUUUCUUGAGGGCAGGAGAGGAAAGCAGAAUUCCUGGUGUAGCGGUGAAAUGCGUAGAAAUCAGGAGGAAUACCAGUGGCGAAGGCGGCUUUCUGGACUGGCCCUGACGCUGAGGUGCGAAAGCGUGGGUAGCAAACAG
rnacentral:rRNA from 1 species